rnacentral:tRNA from 1 species
GCGGGUGUAGCUCAGCGGCUAGAGCAUCUGCUUGCCAUGCAGAAGGUCGUGGGUUCGAAUCCCAUCACCCGCUCCG